rnacentral:rRNA from 1 species
CCAUGGCGUACAGGUGAGUAAUACACAAGAAUCUGCCCUAAAAUCUUGGGAUAAUCAUAUUUUUUUAAUAAUGCUUUGCAGUGAUAAUACCGGAUAUAUUGAAAGGCUAAAUGCUGUUUUAGGAUGAGCUUGUGCAAGAUUAGGUAGUUGGUAGGGUAAAAGCCUACCAAGCCGAUGAUCUUUAGCUGUUCUGAGAGGAUGAUCAGCCACACUGGGACUGAGAUAAGGCCCAGGCUUAUAAGCCAGCAGUGAGGAAUCUUGGACAAUGAGCGAAAGCUUGAUCCAGUAAUGCUGCGUGAAUGAUGAUAGGCACAAAAGAUUUUUAAGAAAUUAAUAAUCGGCUGUAAAAUUCUUUCGCUGAUGAAGAUAAUGACGUUAGUCAGAGAAGAAGUCCCGGCUAACUUCGUGCCAGCAGCCGCGGUAAUACGAAGGGGGCAAGCGUUAUCCGGAAUUACUGGGCGUAAAGUGUUCGUAGACGGUAUUUGUUGUUUUACGUAAAAUACUAAGUUAAAUCUUAGACAUGCGUAUAAUACUCUUUUACUUGAGUUUAAUAGAGGGUAACAGAAUUUUAUAUUAUAGGGGUAAAAUCCAAAUAUUUAUAAAGGAAUGUCAGUGGCGAAGGCGGUUACCUGGAUUAAUGUAUUUUUACAAAACUGACGUUGAGGAACGAAAGCGUAGGGAGCAAACAGGAUUAGAGACCCUGGUAGUCUACGCUGUCAAAGAUGAAUGCUAUUAUUGGGAUGUUUUAUUCUGAUAAACAGCUAACGCG